UACGUAGGGGGCUAGCGUUGUCCGGAAUCAUUGGGCGUAAAGUGCGUGUAGGCGGUCCGGUAAGUCCGCUGUGAAAGUCGGGGGCUCAACCCUCGAAUGCCGGUGGAUACUGUCGGGCUAGAGUGCGGAAGAGGCGAGUGGAAUUCCUGGUGUAGCGGUGAAAUGCGUAGAUAUCAAGCGGAACACCAGUGGCGAAGGCGAGUCCCUGGACAACUCCUGACACUGAGGCACGAAAGCUAGGGGAGCAAACAGG
rnacentral:rRNA from 1 species